GACGAACGCUGGCGGCGUGCCUAAUACAUGCAAGUAGAACGCUGAAGAGAGGAGCUUGCUCUUCUUGGAUGAGUUGCGGACGGGUGAGUAACGCGUAGGUAACCGGCCUUGUAGCGGGGGAUAAGUAUUGGAAACGAUAGCUAAUACCGCAUAACAAUGGAUGACCGAGGUCAUUUAUUUGAUAAGGGCAAAUGCUCCACUAAAAGAGGGACAUGCGUUGGAUUAGGUAGUAGGUGAGGUAACGGCUCACCUAGGCGACGGAACAGAGCCGACUUGAGAGGGUUGUCCGCCAACCCUGGACUGGGACCCGGCCCAGACUCCCUCGGGGGGCAGCAGUAGGGGAUUUUCGGCCAUUGGGGGAAACCUGACCCCGGCCCGCCGCGUUGGUGAAGAAGGUUUUUGGAAUUUAAAGCUCUGUUGUAAGUCAAGAACGAGCGUUAGGGUGGAACGUUCAUACUUUGACGGUAGCUUAACAGAAAGCGACGGCUAACUACGUG
rnacentral:rRNA from 1 species